GAUGAAGAACGUAGCGAAAUGCGAUAACUAGUGUGAAUUGCAGAAUUCCGUGAAUCAUCGAGUCUUUGAACGCACAUUGCGCCCCCUGGUAUUCCGGGGGGCAUGCCUGUCCGAGCGUCAUUGCUGCCCAUCAAGCACGGCUUGUGUGUUGGGUCGUCGUCCCCUCUCCGGGGGGGACGGGCCCCAAAGGCAGCGGCGGCACCGCGUCCGAUCCUCGAGCGUAUGGGGCUUUGUCACCCGCUCUGUAGGCCCGGCCGGCGCUUGCCGACACAUCAAUCUUUUUUCCAGGUUGACCUCGGAUCAGGUAGGGAUACCCGCUGAACUUAAGCAUAUCAAUAAGCGGAGGA
rnacentral:misc_RNA from 1 species